rnacentral:rRNA from 1 species
AACCUCCCUUUUCUCCGUUUUUUUUUCAAUUAGGAAAAAUAGUCACAACGUUGCUUUUGUAUAAGUGCUGCAGAAUGAUGAUUACAGUGCUUACUGCCCUCUCGGGUAUAGACCUCACCCUUGUGUAUUAUAUCUUUGUUGCUUUGGCACGCCGCCUUACGUUUGCGGUUUUGGCUGGCUCGUGCGUGUCAAAGGACCUUAAACUCUGAAUGUUAGUGUAACCUGAGUACUAUCUAAUAGUUAAUACUUUCAACAACGGAUCUCUUGUUUCUGGCUUCUAAGAAUAACGCAUCGAAAAGCUAUAAGAAAUGUGAAUUGCAUAAUUCAGUGAAUCAUAAAAUCUUUGAACGCACGUUGCGCCCGGUGGUAUUCCGCCGGGCAUGCCUGUUCGAGCGUCGUUUAAACCAAUCCAGCCUCGUGGUUGGAUCUUGGGCCUUUCGCCUCUGGGCGGGCCUCAAAAUCUUGGAGGAGCCAUCUGGAUCUAAGCGUACUAAUACUCCUCGCUAUAAACAUCUGGUGGUUUCUUGCCAACAACCCACAAUUUGGAAAGGCUGACCUCGUAUCACGUAUGGAUACCCGCUGAACUUAAACAUAUCAUUAAACGCAUGA